ACGGGAGGCAGCAGUGGGGAAUAUUGGGCAAUGGGCGAAAGCCUGACCCAGCGACGCCGCGUGAGGGAAGAAGGUCUUCGGAUUGUAAACCUCUUUCAGCAGGGAAGAAGCAUGACGGUACCUGCAGAAGAAGUCACGGCUAACUACGUGCCAGCAGCCGCGGUAAUACGUAGGUGGCGAGCGUUAUCCGGAAUUACUGGGUGUAAAGGGUGUGUAGGUGGGGAAGCAAGUCAGGCGUGAAAUACACGGGCUCAACCCGUGAACUGCGCUUGAAACUGUUUUUCUUGAGAGUGGGAGAGGUAAACGGAAUUCCUGGUGUAGUAGUGAAAUGCGUAGAUAUCAGGAGGAACACCGGUGGCGAAGGCGGUUUACUGGACCACAACUGACGCUGAGACACGAAAGCAUGGGUAGCAAACAGGAUUAGAUACCCUGGUA
rnacentral:rRNA from 1 species